rnacentral:lncRNA from 1 species
UUGAAGGGUACGGUAUUCUUCUGUUCCUCCUCUAAUUUGGCAAAUGAAAACUUUGAUACUGUUGUCCUGAUCAUUUGCUGGCUGUUGUAACCUAUAUUAUGCUAAAAUAUUUUUUUUGUGUCGUGAAACCCAUAUUUUAUUGGUUUUCGUGUCAGGGGAUGACCCCGGGUAGAGUCAUGGCGACACAACUCUAGCCGAGAUGACGGAGGCAAAACCGGCAUAGUUAUAUAUUGUAACAUCCCAAAAUUUCAAACCUUUACAUGAGCAUUGCAUUCAUAAACAUCAUGCCACAAUUGCAUAUUUGAAUUCAAAUUUUGAAUCUCAAAAGGCUUUGGAAAGAUUCUUUAUUUCAUUUUAAACCCUAGGGUUUACACCCAUUUGAGCUUUGGAUCUUCAAACCAUUUAAGUUUAUAUAUAAAAUGGGUUUAGUGCACAUAUGAGCUAUCCCAUAAUUUUUGGAUAAUUGUUUGGAGUUGAAAAAAUAUUUUAUUUAAACAGAUAUAUGGCCCUAAAGGCAUUUACAGGGCAAAUGUAUUUUUACAUAUUUUAUUUUGAAGAGAAACUACUUCUAAAAGUUGUAUCUUGGUAGAACAUGAUUUUACAAAAAAAUUGGAAUUUGUUUGGACCAAUUUGGAGUUCAAACACAAAAGAUAUCAAAGAAAUGGGAAAACAGAAAAAGAAAAGGCCUAAAAGAAAAAAAAAAUGGUAAACCGGACCGGCCCGGCCAAAAUGGGCCGAACCGGCCCAGUCCAACCGCGCCCGACCGGCCCAGACCGCCCGGUCCACGCGCGCGCGCCCGCAGUCGCUGACAGGUGGGGUCCACCUGUCAGCUGCGUCUUCCCCGAAGGAAAGCGCCGCCGGUCACGCGCGCGAUUUCUGGCCGCCGUCCCCGCGCGCCCGCCACCGCAAUCCGCUCCUUCGGCCUUCCUUUAUCACGCCCG